rnacentral:rRNA from 1 species
UUGAACGCUGGCGGCAUGCCUUACACAUGCAAGUCGCACGGUAACGGGCCUUCGGGUGCCGACGAGUGGCUAACGGGUGAGUAAUACAUCGGAACGUGCCCGAUCGUGGGGGAUAACGAGGCGAAAGCUUUGCUAAUACCGCAUACGCUCUACGGAUGAAAGCAGGGGACCUCAAGGCCUUGCGCGGACGUAUCGGCCGAUGGCUGAUUAGGUAGUUGGUGGGUUAAAAGCUUACCAAGCCGACGAUCUGUAGCUGGUCUGAGAGGAUGAUCAGCCACACUGGGACUGAGACACGGCCCAGACUCCUACGGGAGGCAGCAGUGGGGAAUUUUGGACAAUGGGCGCAAGCCUGAUCCAGCCAUGCCGCGUGCAGGAUGAAGGCCUUCGGGUUGUAAACUGCUUUUGUACGGAACGAAAAGCCUUCUUUUAAUACAGGAGGGUCAUGACGGUACCGUAAGAAUAAGCACCGGCUAACUACGUG